rnacentral:rRNA from 1 species
AGUGAACGCUGGCGGUAGGCCUAACACAUGCAAGUCGAACGGCAGCACAGUAAGAGCUUGCUCUUACGGGUGGCGAGUGACGGACGGGUGAGGAAUACAUCGGAAUCUACUUUUUCGUGGGGGAUAACGUAGGGAAACUUACGCUAAUACCGCAUACGACCUACGGGUGAAAGCAGGGGAUCUUCGGACCUUGCGCGAUUGAAUGAGCCGAUGUCGGAUUAGCUAGUUGGCGGGGUAAAGGCCCACCAAGGCGACGAUCCGUAGCUGGUCUGAGAGGAUGAUCAGCCACACUGGAACUGAGACACGGCCCAGACUCCUACGGGAGGCAGCAGUGGGGAAUAUUGGACAAUGGGCGCAAGCCUGAUCCAGCCAUACCGCGUGGGUGAAGAAGGCCUUCGGGUUGUAAAGCCCUUUUGUUGGGAAAGAAAAGCAGCAGGUUAAUACCCCGCUGUUCUGACGGUACCCAAAGAAUAAGCACCGGCUAACUUCGUG